GAUGAACGCUGGCGGCGUGCCUAAUACAUGCAAGUCGAGCGAACAGACGAGGAGCUUGCUCCUUCGACGUUAGCGGCGGACGGGUGAGUAACACGUAGGUAACCUACCUAUAAGACUGGGAUAACUUCGGGAAACCGGAGCUAAUCCCGGAUAAUAUUUCGAACCGCAUGGUUCGAUAGUGAAAGAUGGCUUUGCUAUCACUUAUAGAUGGACCUGCGCCGUAUUAGCUAUUUGGUAAGGUAACGGCUUACCAAGGCAACGAUACGUAGCCGACCUGAGAGGGUGAUCGGCCAAACUGGAACUGAGACACGGUCCAGACUACUACGGGAGGCAGCAGUAGGGAAUCUUCCGCAAUGGGCGAAAGCCUGACGGAGCAACGCCGCGUGAGUGAUGAAGGUCUUCGGAUCGUAAAACUCUGUUAUUAGGGAAGAACAAACGUGUAAGUAACUGUGCACGUCUUGACGGUACCUAAUCAGAAAGCCACGGCUAACUACGUG
rnacentral:rRNA from 1 species